rnacentral:rRNA from 1 species
UGGGGAAUAUUGGGCAAUGGGCGAAAGCCUGACCCAGCGACGCCGCGUGGGCGAUGAAGGCCUUCGGGUUGUAAAGCCCUGUCAUGCGGAAAGAACGACCCUGUGACGCAUACUCACAGGGAGUGACGGUACCGCAGGAGGAAGCACCGGCUAACUCCGUGCCAGCAGCCGCGGUAAUACGGAGGGUGCAAGCGUUGUUCGGAAUUAUUGGGCGUAAAGGGCGCGUAGGCGGUAAUGUAAGUCAGAUGUGAAAUACUCAGGCUCAACCAGAGAACAGCAUCUGAAACUGCAUAACUAGAGUACAGAAGAGGGAAACGGAAUUCCCGGUGUAGAGGUGAAAUUCGUAGAUAUCGGGAGGAACACCAGUGGCGAAGGCGGUUUCCUGGUCUGAUACUGACGCUGAGGCGCGAAAGCGUGGGGAGCAAACA